GCUCCUAAAGGAUAGCAGCUUAUCCGCCGGCCUUAGGAGCCGGAAACCCUUGGUGCAAAUCCAAGUAGUAGCU
rnacentral:tRNA from 1 species